rnacentral:rRNA from 1 species
CCUACGGGUGGCAGCAGUGGGGGAUAUUGCACAAUGGGGGCAACCCUGAUGCAGCGACGCCGCGUGGGCGAUGGAGUCCUUCGGUAUGUAAAGCUCUGUCAGCAGGGAAGAGAAUGACGGUACCUGCCCAAGAAGCCCCGGCUAAAUCCGUGCCAGCAGCCGCGGUAAUACGUAUGGGGCAAGCGUUAUCCGGGUUUACUGGGUGUAACGGGAGCGUAGGCGGGAGGGCAAGCCUGAGGUGAAAGCCCGGGGCCCAACCCCGGGACUGCAGUGGGAACUGCCCCGCUCGAGUGCCGGAGGGGGAGGCGGAAUUCCUAGUGUAGCGGUGAAAUGCGUAGAUAUUAGGAGGAACACCAGUGGCGAAGGCGGCCUGCUGGACGGUGUACUGACGCUGAGGCUCGAAAGCGUGGGGAGCAAACAGGAUUAGAUACCCGAGUAGUC